GGCUUUUCUAACUGAGUGCCUCUCCGCGCAGCCUGUACUCUUCAAGCCCCAUCAAACACGAGUCCGUCGGUCUGGCUGCGCAAGGCAACUGAACACUACGAGCAGCGAGUGGUUAUUCCAGCCCAAACCUCCAACUUAGCAAACAGUGUUAGCUCUAAAUAUCAUCCCUGUCCGUCGGUAAGCGCUGCACUUUGCUUUCCGCUUCCUUCUGAGGACUUCAACUCGCGCUGGUCAAAUUGUCGGCAGACCAAAUACGGAGAAAUAAAACGAAAUAACGGACACGUCUCGGCUGAAAUGCACGGCUGUUGUUACUGUCUUUUGAGGAGGAGGGUGUCCGACACAGAGCUGUAGUUUCUCUUCCAAGAAGGCGAGGAAUGCAAGCUGAGCAUCAAUGUUUCACUGGGGCAAGUGGAAGAAGAGGAUGGGAGCCAACAGUUCUUCAAAGAGACCCGUUUUCGACGAAAAGGAAGAUGGGAGCAGCAGCUGUGAUGGUGACUAAUAAAGAAUAAAGAACCUCUGAUGAAGAUUACAUUAUCUCAGGAUUCAUAAUUAAUGUCCAAAUAUGACUAUAAAACCUUCGUGUUGCAAACUAAAGUCAUAUUAGCUCUUACAGAAAUGUUUGCGGUCCUCAGCAUAUUCCUCCUCCUCUCCUGUGUUAAAUACAAACUAUGCAUUUAACUGAGCUUCAGUUUGCUUUGGAUUUCCCUUUAAUAAAACCCUAGUUAAAGAAAA